rnacentral:rRNA from 1 species
ACGAACGCUGGCGGCGUGCUUAACACAUGCAAGUCGAACGAAGAGCGAUGGAAGCUUGCUUCUAUCAAUCUUAGUGGCGAACGGGUGAGUAACGCGUAAUCAACCUGCCCUUCAGAGGGGGACAACAGUUGGAAACGACUGCUAAUACCGCAUACGAUCUAACCUCGGCAUCGAGGAAAGAUGAAAGGUGGCCUCUAUGUAUAAGCUAUCACUGAAGGAGGGGAUUGCGUCUGAUUAGCUAGUUGGAGGGGUAACGGCCCACCAAGGCGAUGAUCAGUAGCCGGUCUGAGAGGAUGAACGGCCACAUUGGGACUGAGACACGGCCCAGACUCCUACGGGAGGCAGCAGUGGGGAAUCUUCCGCAAUGGACGAAAGUCUGACGGAGCAACGCCGCGUGAGUGAUGACGGCCUUCGGGUUGUAAAGCUCUGUUAAUCGGGACGAAAGGCCUUCUUGCGAAUAGUGAGAAGGAUUGACGGUACCGGAAUAGAAAGCCACGGCUAACUACG